rnacentral:rRNA from 1 species
UACGUAGGUGGCAAGCGUUGUCCGGAUUUACUGGGCGUAAAGAGCGCGCAGGCGGCUGAUUAAGUCGAAUGUGAAAAGCCCCCGGCUCAACUGGGGAGGGUCAUUCGAUACUGAUCAACUUGAAGGCAGGAGAGGGUAGUGGAAUUCCCGGUGUAGUGGUGAAAUGCGUAGAUAUCGGGAGGAACACCAGUGGCGAAGGCGACUACCUGGCCUGUUCUUGACGCUGAGGCGCGAAAGCUGGGGGAGCAAACGGG